rnacentral:rRNA from 1 species
UACGUAGGCAGCAAGCGUUGUCGAGUUACUGGGCGUAAAGGGUGUGUAGGCGGUUGCUUAAGUUUGGUGUGAAAUCUCCCGGCUCAACUGGGAGGGUGCGCCGAAUACUGAGUGACUCGAGUGCGGGAGAGGAAAGUGGAAUUCCUGGUGUAGCGGUGAAAUGCGUAGAUAUCAGGAGGAACACCGGUGGUGUAGACGGCUUUCUGGACCGUAACUGACGCUGAAACACGAAAGCGUGGGUAGCAAACAGG